rnacentral:pre_miRNA from 1 species
AGGAGGAACAACAACAGUGGCGGGGCCAGCUCUGGAGCCCUGGAGUCGGCUCCCGCAGUAGCUCCCGCAGCUCCCAGUCCGCAGGGGGCUGGAUGCUCCGUGGCGGG